CGUCAAACCACUCAGUAGAAAGUGCCUCUUUUUCACCUUGAAGGCCGUUUAUGACCUGUAGUUACCUUGAAGUCUAUCUAGUGGUUGAAGAUGACGAGAAGAGUAGUGUUUUGAGCAGAGGUUUAUAUUGUUGAGGACAUCUUGAGCCCGAAGAGAGAACAAUUCUUUUUACCGUUUUGUGGUACACUACACAUUGGUUAUCUGUUUGGAGUAGAGGGCGCCCCGGCUCCCCAAGUCCUUCACAAUAGU